rnacentral:rRNA from 1 species
UACGGAGGGUGCGAGCGUUGUCCGGAAUCACUGGGCGUAAAGGGCGCGUAGGCGGCCUGAUAAGUAGGGGUGAAAUCCUGCGGCUUAACCGCAGGGCUGCCUUCUAAACUGUCAGGCUAGAGCACGGUAGAGGCAGAUGGAAUUCCCGGUGUAGCGGUGGAAUGCGUAGAGAUCGGGAAGAACACCUAUAGCGAAGGCAGCUUGCUGGGACGUUACUGACGCUAAGGCGCGAAAGCGUGGGAGCGAACGAGG